UUGGCGGCCGCCUUCGUAGAGCAGAGGAUUUGGAUCCAAACUUCAAACACCCUAUUGUGCUAGAUCCGAGCCACUACAUCACCAAAUUGUUAAUCCAGGAUUGUGACCAGAGAUUAUGCCACCCUGGACCAGAGCGUGUCUUCGCUGAACUUCGGCGGUCUUAUUGGAUAUUGAGAGGGCGCGAGGCUGUCCGGAAGCAUCAGUAUGCCUGUCUGGAGUGCCGAAAGUUGAGAUCUAAACCUGUUGUACCAAAGAUGGCUGACUUGCCUCCUGCUCGACUCCGUUUGUUCAAGCCAGCAUUUUAUUCCACUGGGAUGGACUGCUUUGGGCCAUUCCAGGUGAAGAUUGGCAGGCGUACAGAAAAACGGUGGGGUAUUAUAUUUAAAUGCCUUACCACUCGAGCAGUGCAUCUGGACGUACUCACCUCCAUUGAUACAGAUGCCUUCUUGAUGGCUGUACGGAGGUUUACAGCACGCCGUGGUACCCCUGCUGAGCUUUACUCAGACCAAGGGACAAAUUUCAGAGGAGGAGAGAAAGAGUUGAGAGAGGCUUUCUCUGUUAUGAGUACUGACCUGCAAGGUUUGCUGGCGAAACAUCAGAUCAACUUUCACUUCAAUCCUCCAACAGCUCCACACUUUGGAGGAGUGUGGGAGCGAGAGAUUCGCUCUGUGAAAGCAGCACUUAGCACCACAAUUGGAGCACAGAGCGUUCCCGAGGAAGUACUCAGAACAGUUUUAAUUGAGGUGGAAGCGAUCUUGAAUUCUAAACCGUUGGGGUAUGUGUCAUCCAACAUCUCAGAUGUUGACCCAAUAACACCAAAUCAUCUUCUGAUGGGGCGGCCCAGUGGUUCAUUUCCGCAAGUUGUCUACCAAGAUUCUGAACGCCUAAGCCGCAGACGGUGGAGACAAAGUCAGAUACUGGUGGAUCACUUCUGGGCCAAGUUUAUAAGUUACUACUUACCUGGUCUGCAGCUGAGGCAGAAAUGGCAAGGAACUACUGCGGAUCUUACAGAGGGGUCUGUUGUGAUGAUGGUUGAUCCCCAAUUGCCAAGGGCUCUAUGGUUAGUUGGCAAAGUGGUGAGGGUGUUUCCUAGUGCUGAUGGAC
ensembl:lncRNA